GCGUUCGAAAAUAGUGCUGACGUCAGCACUUUUAUUUUUCAAGACGAUGUAAAGGCCGUUUUCCACUAGGCGAAUUUUUUCGCGCGACGCGAAGCGAAAACCGAAAUCCGGCAACGUGAUUGGUCGGCGAAAAAAUUCGCGGCGAAAAAGUAGGAUCGCUUCCUACUUUUUAUCUGUUUGCGCGAACAAAUUCGCCUAGUGGAAAACGGGC
rnacentral:lncRNA from 1 species